UGGUUGACGAGCAGCAGCUGCUAACCUUAUCUCUUCUUGCUUUUCUGUUCCGCACAGACGGCGGCGACUGAGCUGCGCUGCCGUUCCUGGCUCCUAUGGCUGCUGCCGCGCUGCGCCGCCGUUCCGGCUCGUAGCUGUUGGCGCCGGCGCGGCGAGCUUCCUUCGUUCCCCCCGGGGCGCGCGGGUUGGCUGCGCGAGCAGGGAGGCAGGCAGGGCGCGCGUCCACCACGUGGGAGCACAAACACCACCACCCUAAGGCAGCUGGGAUUCGAUGCCGUCGAAUCGAUCCCCAAAUCAUCAUCCUCGAGUUGGGCGGCUACACAGUGUGGGAUCUCCAACAAAAUCUUUGGACAUGUCAUGGGUUCCGGAUGGGAUGGACCGUAACACAGCCUGUAGGUUUGCCAUUCGCAUACCGGGCUAUGAGGAGCAUGGUACACAUGUGUAUCAUGUUACCUGUGAUAAAAAUUGGGUUCGCGAUAAGAAUACAAUUUUGUGGAUGGAUUUCUAUGCUGAUCUAAAUGUCGAGAUAAAGCGAGGUAGUAACCAAAGUUUAUCGGUAAGCUUUUGGGACAAGGUUGCAUGCAAGUAUAUGGAUAUUGAUUCCGACUCAUCAUUGCUUGCCGCAAUUGAUAUGUACUGGGACAUUAGAAAGCUUCCUCUAGUAGUUUCCGUGAUUAACCAGCCUAGUCAUGAAAAUAAGUCAGCUACUGAUCUUACUAUUGUUGAUAUGAAAACAAGUCAGCUAUUGAUAUAUCCUAUUGAAAACAAGUCAGCUGUUGUUACCAGUGUAGCUUCUAACACUGAGGAAAUGCCUACUAAUUAUCUUGCUUAUGACACUGAGGAAAGGCCUACUAAUUAUCUUGCUUAUGACACUGAGGAAAGGCCUACUAAUUAUCUUGCUUAUGACACUGAGGAAAGGCCUACUAAUUAUCUUGCUUAUGACACUGAGGAAAGGACUGCGGAUGAUCCUUGGGGUGAAAAUGAUGAAAUAGAGUAUGUUGGUGUAGAUGAUGAGCCUGUUGAGCCUAGUUCAAAGCGGCAUAUGAAGGUUGGAUUGAACCAAUAGCAGAUCGAACACAUUGGCCUCAAGUACACCUAGGAUUCAAGCUAUGGCCUCCACAACUCAAGAGAGCAGCAGGUAGACCAAGGAGUAGGAGAAUAAAAGCAGUUGAUGAGGGUGGCACAAAGAAAAGGAAGAAAUGCAAGAGAUGUGGUCUGUUAGGACACAUGCAAAAGACUUGCAAUGAGACUGUGUAUGACUCAGAUGCUCCACCGCUUGCACCACCAAAACCUAAGAGAAACAAAACCAAGAAGAAGAAGGAAGCAGCAGCCAGUCCAAGUACACCUAAAAGAAAGAAGCCCAAGAAGAUGAAGGAAGCAGCAGCCAGUCCCAGUACUCCUAAAAGAAAGACGGCCAAGAAGAUGAAGGAAGUGAUAACAGAAGUAAUGCCCAGCCCAAGUACACCACUUAGGUUGCAACAGGCACUAGCAACACCAUCAAGCCCAUUUGACCUAAACUGUAGUCCUGCAGCACUAACUCGGAGCCGAGCUAAGAAAAUUGCAAUGGAGGAGGCUGAGGUUCAUGGUAGAAUGGCGCUAGAGCAUCUUAUGCAGUUCUGAUAUGUAUGCUUUUGUGUGCAAACAAACUGCAUAAAGCCUUUUGACAUGCUAAAUUAAUGUAGGGUACCCAUUAAUGUAAUUUGAGAUGUGAAGACUAAGAUUAGUGACAUGAUGAUCACUUAUUCCAUACUAAGAUUAAGAUUAGCGACAUGAUGGUCACUUAUUUUGUGACAUGUUAUGUUGUGUAAGAAAAUAUUAUAUGUGUGACUACACUGAUAUAGUCAGUUGGUGCGGUUUGAUAUUGCACUUGUCCAAUAUAUUAAAAAACAUGAUAUUUUACUACUGGAAGGCUGGCUGGUGGCCUUCAGUCCCAGAUUUUGGUGUAUUA